UGUCAAACUGCCACUCUCUCCUUUUUUUUUUUGCUUUGAAAUCUGCCAGCUCUUGGAAUCAGCCUAGACCAGGCCCCUUGGGUUCCCAGGCUGGAGGGAGAGAGCAGGAAAGGGCUGGUGGCAUCUAAUAUCUCCCCUUCGCAAGAGGAAAAGAUGGCCUUGUAAGAACGCAUCUUAUGGAACAGAAGAGCAGGACCCAGAUAAGUCUAAUGAGACAUCUUAGCUGCCUGGUGGCCAGUAUUCUGCUUAGAAGCCUUCAGAUGAAAAUGUAGUACUCAGCUUCUCCUGCACCAUGCCUGUCUGGAUGCUGCCAUGUUCCUGCCUUGAUGACAAUGGUCCGAACCUCUGAACCUAGGAAAGAAGGUGGAAGGAACUCUGCCUUUUGCCUGCUCGCCUUCACUCUUGCUGGCAAGUUCAUCUGCUCUGUUGCUUCAGCAUUCCUUCACCAAUAUUAGAACCAAUUUCUUUGGGCUUUCAACAUAGAAGUCAGCAGCUCUCCAGGAAUCUUCUGGGCCUUCAAAUGACAAAUUGGACUGCUGAGACAUUCAGCUUGUGGGUUUAACCAGGCUCUGUGAGAGGACAGAGCCAUGUGGAAUCGUGACCGAGCACAGUGCCUGGCUCAUCUGAAGAAUCUUUUUGCUGAACUCUCUACAGAGUCCUAAGGUAGGAUAGAGCACCACAUGGUGAGAAAAAGCAAGCUUGUCCUCUUGGACAGCCCAUCUUCUGAUGAAGAUUCCAUGCCCACGAUGCCUGACUCUGUCUCCAGUGGUAUUUUAUGUGACUGUCAACUUGAAUCUAGCAUCAUCUUAGAUGCAUAUUUCUGGGCAUGUCUGAGAGGGACUUUCUAGAUGGUAUUAAUUGAGGUUAAUUAAGGUGGAGAGAUUCCCCCCAAGGCGUGGGUGGCACCCUUCCAUGAGCUGUGAUCCUGGACUGAUUAAAGUAGAGAAAUUGUGGUGGCUUCAUCCCUCUUUGCUUCCUGACUAUGGAUGCAAUGGGACCAGUUGCUUCCACUCCUGUUGCCAUGGCUUCUCACCAUGAAGGGAUACACUCUCACAUGGUGAACCAAAACAAACCCUUCGUUCCUUAAGCAGUCCCUUGUUGAGUAUUUUGUCACUACAAGGAGAAAAGUAGCUACUGCACUUCCUAGGGGCCCUGCUCCCAAAGGCCUCAUGAAAACCUCUUAUGCUUCCGCCCUAUAGUCCCUCCCCCCACGUGACUUUAGGAGUAGAUAUGGAGCCUUGGGUAGCCCUGCGAUUUGAGGCAGUGGGACAUGAGUAGACUGGAAGUGAUCCAAGAUCUUAGUAGGACUU